AGAGUCCUGAAGUGUACGUUUACUUCCAUAAUAAUUUGAGCCAACACUUUUACAACGGGAGCUUGAUUCUUUCCAUCCAGAGUACAUGCCUCGGUAGCUGAGGACGUACGAAGGACGGAAUAGGGCACCCACCUGCCAAUGCAGGUUCAACAAUUAUGGAAAGGACGGCACAGUUGGGGCUCUU
rfam:Anaerobacillus macyae strain DSM 16346 scaffold2, whole genome shotgun sequence.